rnacentral:rRNA from 1 species
GGACUACAAGGGUAUCUAAUCCUGUUUGCUCCCCACGCUUUCGCGCCUCAGCGUCAAUAUCUGUCCAGGUAGCCGCCUUCGCCACUGGUGUUCCUUCCGAUCUCUACGCAUUUCACCGCUACACCGGAAAUUCCACUACCCUCUACAGUAUUCUAGUCAUUCAGUAUUGUAUGCAGUUCCUAGGUUAAGCCCAGGGAUUUCACAUCCAACUUAAUUGACCGCCUACGCGCCCUUUACGCCCAGUAACUCCGAUUAACGCUCGCACCCUCUGUAUUACCGCGGCUGCUGGCAC